UACCAGCACCCCGAGUGGUCGGGACGUUUAUUGGGCCUAAAGCAUCCGUAGCCGGUUCUACAAGUCUUCCGUUAAAUCCACCUGCUUAACAGAUGGGCUGCGGAAGAUACUAUAGAGCUAGGAGGCGGGAGAGGCAAGCGGUACUCGAUGGGUAGGGGUAAAAUCCGUUGAUCCAUUGAAGACCACCAGUGGCGAAGGCGGCUUUCUGGACGAUUACUGACGCUGAGACGCGAAAGCGUGGGUAGCAAACAGG
rnacentral:rRNA from 1 species